CACAGCUCCUCAGCCACCGCCUCCCUCCGCCGCGGGUCGUUCACUACGCAGCUCUGCCGCGCGUACGACCCCUCAAUCUCGAACGCCGAGUCGCCGCCGCCGCCGCCGCCGCCGCCGAAGCGGGUCACGUGCGCUAGGGCUUUGGAGUCGCGGAGGUUCAUGUGCCGCUUCACGGAGUAGAGAGGGCGAAUCGUCUCUUCCCCGUCGUAGAUCACCCAAACUCAGCUUCUGCAUCGCAAAAUCCAUAGGGAUCGGGAAUUUUGCUUUAUGAGAUGUUAUAUGGGCGCACAUCUUUUCGAGGAAAGAAUAGAAAAAGGACAUUUUCCAACAUUUUGCACAAGGACCUCACAUUUCCAAGCAGCAUUCCGAUGAGAAACUUGCCGCUGAAUCAAUUUUCAUUUUAGUGGUAGAAGUGCACAGAGGGUGAAAAAAACUGAUUCAUAAUCUAGCACUAGUAGUGCCAGGUUAGCCUAGCAGCAAGGCAACUAAUCCAUGGAUUACUCCAUAGAGACCCUGCUAAUCGUUUGGGAUCAAGUUCUGGAGCAAAUGAGAUCAAGCAACAUCCUUUCUUCAGUGACAUCAACUGGCCACUUAUUCGCUGCAUGGUAUACGAACGUGUUGGCGAAGUCGGUUCGGCUAUUCGUCGAGCCUACGCGAAGAUAUUGAA